CAGCCGCCGCGGUAAUUCGGAGGGUGCAAGCGUUGUUCGGAAUUAUUGGGCGUAAAGCGCGUGUAGGCGGGAAGGCAGGUCAGGUGUGAAAUCCCUUGGCUUAACCAAGGAACUGCAUCUGAAACCAUUUUCCUCGAGUACGAUAGGGGAGGGCGGAAUUCCCAGUGUAGAGGUGAAAUUCAUAGAUAUUGGGAGGAACACCAGUGGCGAAGGCGACCCUCUGGAUCGAUACUGACGCUGAGACGCGAAAGCGUGGGUAGCAAACAGGAUUAGAUACCCUGGUAGUCCACGCUGUAAACGAUGUGCACUAGGUGUUGGAGGUACUUAAUCCUCCAGUGCCGCAGCUAACGUAUUAAGUGCACCGCCUGGGGAAUACGGCCGCAAGGUUAAAACUCAAAGGAAUUGACGG
rnacentral:rRNA from 1 species